GGCAACACAGAGGAUCCCUCAGCCUUAUUUUAAUAGAAGCAAAUAACCACUCAGAUGCAGCAUUAAUCCAUUACCUGGGACUCCCAGUACAUCAAAGAGGAUAACACUAAUCGUGGACCAGAAAGCAGAUCCUUCCUUUUCGGCAGAUUAUGCUUUAGUUUUCUGAGGUUUUUCUGGGAGUCAGUUUCCUCUUGUUUUUACACAAAGACAGAGAAAUUUGUGCCUCUGAGAAGAAUGGACCACGUGAAUUACAGUAGGAAAGAAAAUCUAAGGCUU